rnacentral:lncRNA from 1 species
CACUCCCACUGGCAAACUACGCGGCACGGCGGUGGUGACAGACACGACGGUGACGGACGCGGCGGUGACGGUGAUUACAGCGGCGGCGGCUGCGUCGACACUGAAGAUGGUAAGCCUAAAGCGUCGGCACAACUCUCGGACCUAAAGCGCGGAACGCGCGUGGUCAGUUUGCCCCUAAGCAGAUUGUCAUCGUCAUCUACUCCGACUCGUCCUCUGACUCGGACUCCGACCCCGUCUUCAACCUCAAGCCGGCGACAAAGACAACCACGGAGAAGAAGAUGGUAAGAUUAAAUCAUGAGUACCAUUUUUGGGAUUAAGGGUUACAAACUAGAAACAAAGAUGCGGUCGUUGCCGCGCCUGCCCCCAAGCAUGUCUCCUAGGUUCGGGCCAGUAUUGGAAAUUUGCAAUGGAUAAUAAUCUCUUCCAUAUGUUUCAAUUCAUCAGACUACCUAUGGUGUGCAUGUUUCAUAUGUCUCUGCAUCUGCUAUAAGAUACACAGGGAUUUCUUUACUAUUUUUAGAUGCUCUAAGAUAAGGGUUUGUCCACUUUUUAAUGAUCCAAUUAAUCAUAUCGAGAAAUCAUUUGAAGAUUUUGUGCUUGCAGAAGAUAUGGAGCAGAAUUUUAUAAUGAUAUUAAAGCAGGCAUAGGUACUAGUGUAUAUGGCAUACAUCCAAUAUGUAAUGGCAAGGAUUCCUCAAACGCACUGCAUGAACAAACAGAUCAGACAUAUUCUAGCUACUUGAUUUCACAAUAAUGCUAUAUUUUUGGUCUGUAUCUUCAUAUCUCAAAGCAUGUCUUAUUUUUUUGGUCUAUAUCUUCAGUGCCUAGUUGCUUGCCUAAUGAUGAGUCUAGAGUACAUGAAAAUCUUUGAUGAGCAUAGGGAAUAUGGUAGUAUUAAUUGAGGCCAUGCUUAUUAAUUCUAAUUUUUAUGUAGUUAUAUCCAUGCUUCAAGAAAAUAACAUGUAUUGACCAUUAUUCAUCGUAGCUUGUGGAACUUGUAUGAUGCCUUACUACAUCAGUAGGAGUAUGCAGUUCCUGCAUCGCCAGUCAAAGUUUGUGAAAAGUUUGCCUUGAAAUUCAAAAGACUUGCUAACUCAUAUGGUCCACAAUCGGACUACUUGUGUAGAAAGGAAUCAGAGAAUAAAAAAUUCUAUAUGCAAAUUACUAGGUCGAGGGUACUAGCAUAUAUUCUGUAGAUCAAGCAUUAGAAAUUUAUCAGCUACGCUGUGUCUGCAAGAUCAGAAACAUAUUUCUAAUCCUUUGAAUAUCAGUGAGCUGAUCAAGCAUAUGCUGUGUCUGCAAAAUCAGAAAUUUCUUUGAUCUGGAUUACAAAUAUAUAAAUACUAUAUCAUUCAUGUGCCUGCAUAUAUUCAAAUCAACACAUACCAUAGAUUUGGAAAUUAAUUUCAGCCAUUAAUUUCAAUUUGUAAUUUAGCAUUUUUAGUUUGAAGUUGCAUGUGGUUGUUAAUAAAUAAUUUUGGUCCACCAGAUCACCACAGGAGAAGCAUCCAGGGCCAAAAGGGCCUCUUCCAAUAACUACAAUAAGGUAGCGGUUUCCGGUCUACAGUGUGCCAAAGGGGUGUUAACAUUUUGUUCACAUUGCACUCUAUUCUUUUGCUGCAACAAAAUUCAAUUGCCAUGUAGGCUAAUAUUAAUUGUGGUCUAUUCACUAAUUUGUGUCCAUCAGACCAGCGGGAAAUUAUCCACAUUAGCAGUGUCUGGGGCCAAAAGAGCAUCCUCUACUGCCAAUAAGGCCCCGGUGUCUGCUAUCAAGCGUGCCAAAGGGGGGCCUACUUUCUCUAAGAAGAUGGUAAGAUUUCUUCUUGUACAAUCUCAUUUUUGUGACAUAAACAUAAGUGAUCAUUGGAAUGAAGAACUGCUUUGUUCACAAAUAUAAGUGCAUUUUUAUUUGUAGGUUCCCAAUUAUGAUCCGUAUGAGGAUGACAGUGGUGACGACUAUUCCACCACUUGUUCCUUCACUGAUGACAGUGAUGUGGAACCCU